UACCGGAACUACACUUCCCAGAAAGCUGUGCUACAAGCUCGUCUGGAUCUGGAGGUCAGAGCGGCUCCGGGACCCCGAUGCCUUCUGGGAAAUGGAGUCGUCUGUCUGCGCAGCACAAAAGCUCCCGGGACUUGUAGUUCGUGUCCGGUCCGCGCAGGCGCACUUUCCCGCGACGGUGUUUGGCCUGCUCCUUUGUGGUGGUCGUUGGAUUUCUGUGGGAGGCGGGUCCGCCCAGUCUGCGAGACAGCUCUUCGUACCCGCUAGUUCCAAACCUCUGAGCCCGAAAUCGGCCUUGGUCCCCUCACUCGGAGCCCCGGGAGGAGCGCGGGUGAUGGGGCGUGAGCGCAGGCUGGAAUGUGGGACGCUUGCUGAGCCUGCCUGACCCCGACCCUGGAAGUGCGCAGGGGGCUCCGCGUGCGCGACCGUGAAGCCGGAAGUGCGUGUGUGACCCCACGGGGCUCCCAGGCAGGCUGUCCCUUAGCCCCAGGAACAGGACCCGUGCCUCUGGGCCUAGCUUGGGGCCGGAGGUUGCAGAGCUGCCCACGUGUCCGGGGAACGCUGCCGAGGGGCGCGAUGGAGACCCCUGCUCCAAAGCCCCAGGAGACAGGUACAGCGUCGCUGUCUGUGGAUUUGUAUUGGAAGAGACCGAAGGGUUUGAUAGCAUUCAUUCAUCAUUGAAAACCGUUUGGGCCUUGAAUUUUCUUUAUGGGAGGAGAAGGUCCUAAGAGGGAAGUGGUCUACACUAUAAAUGCCUCGUAGAGAUCAGAAAAGCUCUUCCUGGAGCCAAGGCACAGGUGACGCUGAGGACUUUGCUUUCUGUGCAAGUGGGAGUCAAGGAGGUGUCUAUUCUUUCAUGAAUUGACUUCUCUGACCUUUGCAUGUAUAUUUAUUGGGGUCAUAAUGUUUAUUUAAAACCUACUUCGGCAAGGAUGUGGGAAAAGGGGAAUAUUUUUGCACUGCUGGUGGGAAUGCAAACUGGUGCAGCCACUCUGGAAAACAGUAUGGGGCUUCCUCAAAAAAUUAAAAAUAGAACUACCCUACGACCCAGCAAUUGCACUAUUAGGUAUUUAUCCAAAGGAUAUAGGAGUGCUGUUUCAAAGGGGCACAUGCACCCCAAUGUUUAUAGAAGUGCUAUCAACAAUAACCGAAGUAUGGAAAGAGUCCAAAUGUCCAUCAACUGACAAAUGGAUAAAGAUGUGGUACAUAUAUACGAUGGAAUAUUACUCAGCGAUCAAAAAGAACAAAACAUUGCCAUUUGCAACAAUGUGAAUGGAACUAGUAUAUUAUGCUAAGUGAAAUAAGUCAGGAGAGAAAGAUAAAUAUCAUUUUUUCACUAGUAUGUGGAAUUUACGAAACAAAACAAAUGGACAGAGGGGAAGGGAAGGAAAAAAUAAGAUAAAAAGAGGGAAGCAAACCAUAAGAGACUCUUAAUUACAGAGAACAAACAGAGUUGCUGGAGGGGAGGUGGGUGGGGAAGGAUUCUUGGUAGCCAUUAUUAAUAUUCUCCAGAUGAGCCUAUAGUCAAAUAUUUGGAAAAAUAUAUGUUCAACAAAAUAUUUUUCAUUAUAUUACCCAAUUACUGAAAGUUUCUGUUCUUUCAUUCCAUUUUUUCUUAAGGAAAAAUCAACACACAAAUAUACAAUGUCAGUCUCCCUCUGUGAUCUUUCCUGAAGAAUUUAUUCUUCAAGUAUAUGGUUAAGGGAGUAACCUCUACCUUUAAAAGUGCCUUUCUAUUUCAGAUACUGAACUUCUGAAAGGAAUUAUCAUGAACAUGAAAGCUAGAUGAGAGAAGCUCUUACUCAAUAAGAUCUGGGUAAAUUAAUUCCCGAACAGAUCUGCAUUUUCUCAUCAUAUUUGUCUUACAUAUUCAACCAGAAACAAAGAAUCAAUUUACAGCCAAACCAAGUGUCUGUGUCUCCAUUUAAAACUUUAAAUGUAUUUAUUAACUUUCAAAGCCUCCUGCCCACAUGGGUAAGGAUUUCAUUUGAAGAACAGGUGGUUUUUUUGUAACGUUUAUGUUGUAUACUCAUCCUUUCUUGACUCAUUCCUAUUAACUAAAAUGAUUUAGAACUUUAAUAGGCACUGGUAACUUGUUACUUUUGAAAAAUCAGGUUGAAAAAUUUUAUUACAAAUUAAAAUAUCUUUUAAAAAUUCUCAAGUUGAGGGGCACCUGGGUGGCUCGGUCGGUUAAACGUUCAACUCUUGAUUUUGACCCCGGUCAUGAUCUGACAGUUUGUGAUACCAAACCCCAUGUUGGGUUCUGUGCUAACAUCAUGGAGUCUACUUGGGAUUCUCUCUCUCUCUCUCUCUCUCUCUCUCUCUCUCUCUCUCUCUCUC